rnacentral:rRNA from 1 species
UACGGGGGGGGCAAGCGUUGUUCGGAAUUACUGGGCGUAAAGGGCUCGUAGGCGGCCAACUAAGUCAGACGUGAAAUCCCUCGGCUUAACCGGGGAACUGCGUCUGAUACUAGGUGGCUUGAGGUUGGGAGAGGGAUGCGGAAUUCCAGGUGUAGCGGUGAAAUGCGUAGAUAUCUGGAGGAACACCGGUGGCGAAGGCGGCAUCCUGGACCGAUUCUGACACUGAGGAGCGAAAGCCAGGGGAGCAAACGGG